rnacentral:tRNA from 1 species
AUCUAGAUAGCUUAAAAUUUAAAGUUUAAUUUUGAAGAAAUUAAUAUAGGAAUUAGUUCCUUCUGGAUA